rnacentral:rRNA from 1 species
AGAGUUUGAUCCUGGCUCAGGAUGAACGCUGGCGGCGUGCUUAACACAUGCAAGUCGAACGAAGAAGAGUUGAAUGAGGCUUCGGCGGAUUUCUUCUCAUCUUAGUGGCGGACGGGUGAGUAACGUGUGGGCAACCUGCCCUGUACUGUGGAAUAAUCACUGGAAACGGUGACUAAUACCGCAUGUCAUCACCGGAGGGCAUCCUCUGGUGAAAAAAGGAUUUAUUCGGUACAGGAUGGGCCCGCAUCUGAUUAGCUAGUUGGUGAGAUAACAGCCCACCAAGGCGACGAUCAGUAGCCGACCUGAGAGGGUGAUCGGCCACAUUGGGACUGAGACACGGCCCAAACUCCUACGGGAGGCAGCAGUGGGGAAUAUUGCACAAUGGGGGAAACCCUGAUGCAGCAACGCCGCGUGAAGGAAGAAGGUUUUCGGAUCGUAAACUUCUAUCAACAGGGAAGAAACAAAUGACGGUACCUGAAUAAGAAGCCCCGGCUAACUACGUGCCAGCAGCCGCGGUAAUACGUAGGGGGCAAGCGUUAUCCGGAAUUACUGGGUGUAAAGGGAGCGUAGGCGGCACGUCAAGCCAGAUGUGAAAGCCCGGGGCUUAACCCCGUGGAUUGCAUUUGGAACUGGCGAGCUAGAGUACAGGAGAGGAAAGCGGAAUUCCUAGUGUAGCGGUGAAAUGCGUAGAUAUUAGGAAGAACACCAGUGGCGAAGGCGGCUUUCUGGACUGAAACUGACGCUGAGGCUCGAAAGCGUGGGGAGCAAACAGGAUUAGAUACCCUGGUAGUCCACGCCGUAAACGAU